rnacentral:lncRNA from 1 species
ACAUAGCGUUCAUAUUUAUAGGUAACAGGAAACCCUAACGUAUAGAAGGAAACAACUCAAACAAAAAAAGGAAACUUAAAAACAAGAAACAAAGAAACACGCUUGAACCAAAAAAAACUAACGAGAAAAACAAUUCCAAAAGCGUCAGGGCUGGAACUCGCCAGCUUAGCUCUGCCCUGGACUUCAGUUCUGCUCUGGAAAGUCCAUUCCUCUGCUCUGGAAAUUCCGCUCUGCUCUGGAAAGUCCGCU